rnacentral:misc_RNA from 1 species
AUAGAGACUAAAUACAUUACAAAAGUCAAAAGUUUGCUAACCAAACCUCCAUAAUUUAAGGAAGUUUGUCUCUCAAACUUAAGCUUCUCCAUUCAUUCUAAACUACCCCAACUAAUGCAAACUAAUAUAGAUAUGAGGUAGAAAAUACAUUAAAAUAAAAACAAAAUAUCUUCAAGACAAAAUAAUUUCCUCACUAACACUUGCAUCAGACAAAGAAUAUAGUAUACUAGACAGUAUGCUAGAUACAUUGUCACAGAUAGCAUGCUGGAUUUAACACAAGCCAUGACCAACCAGG